AUGAGAUGUAAUGAAAGAAAUUUGCAUAGGCCAGGCACGCGGAGGACACCCCAGGACACCCCAGAACAUAGAAAAUCCAAGAGGAAGAAGGAUCUACGGAUAUCCUGCAUGUCCAAGCCACCCGCACCAAACCCCACAACCCCCCGGAACCUGGACUCCCGGACCUUCAUCACCAUUGGAGACACAGUAGGUGCCAGCCGCCACCCCUGCAGGGCCUCUCACUUCACCUGACGAGCGGGUAGAGCUGACCCUGCAGGACCACUCUUGGGGGAGGUGACUGAGGGGUCAGAGAGGGUCAGGCUCUGGAGAAGAGCCUCAUCCUGCGCUGCUGCUGUGUGGCCCUGGGCCACCCACUCUUUGACCCUCCUGGUGGGAAUGAGGACCAUUGGCUGCCUGACUGGAGCUUGGCGAGCCCAGAGCUGGUAGGAAGGUUUCUGAGCUGAGAGCAAGGCCCUGCACCUCAUCCUAGCCCUAGGGGAGAGUAUUGAACAUGCAGGCUCCUAGGCCGCCCUGGACCCGCUGGAUCACUCCCUCAGGCCAGCACCUGGGAAACCUGCAUUUUAUGCUUCCAGAAGCCUCAGAAGGGCACUAGCCAUUCAGAAUCCUGGCUCAGGGACCGUGCUAUGCCCAGUUCCUCCCAACAGAAACCCUACUCCCAGGCCAGGUGCAGUGGCUCACACCUGUAAUCCCCACACUUUGGGAGGCCAAGGCAGGAGGAUCACUUGAGCCUAGGAGCUUGGGACCAGGCCUGGGCAACAUGGUGAAACCCUGUCUGUACAAAAAUACAAGAAAUUA
rnacentral:lncRNA from 1 species